CAGACUCUGGAUCUGUCGCGACCUUGGACUUCCAGCCUCCAGAGACAUGAGAGACAGCAUCUGUUUACUUGGAGGCUCAGCUGGAAAAUUCAGCCUUGUCGGACACAGAAAAACCUGCCGCGUGUCGACUUUGAUGUGGAAACCCUGCUCCUGUCGCCUAAUUUGUCCUCAAAGGGCAGUUAUUAUCUCUGUGGUGGCUCCUGUUGGGGACCGCCUGACUUCCUGCUUCGAGUGACAUAAGCCUAAAGUUGCCUGGAGAGAACGCUGUUACGGCAGAGCGGAUGCCCAGUGGCUCCGAAUGAAAUCCGGCCUUCUUUGCCUAUUUAUGCAGUGGUGAUGAAACCACAGCCGUCCUGGGGGUGGGGUGGAGACGGCCAGAUUUUAGCUGGCAUUGCGCAGAACCGAAGACCUUCAUGGCUUGCCUGCUGGCGAUUUUGUUUUUGUGAUUUGAUAGAUUGUUCUACAAACAUGACAUCCGCUCACACCUCCCUCCCUCGCCAA